AGCGAACGCUGGCGGCAGGCUUAACACAUGCAAGUCGAGCGGGCACUUCGGUGUCAGCUGCAGACGGGUGAGUAACACGUGGGAACGUACCCUUUGGUUCGGAAUAACGCUGGGAAACUAGCGCUAAUACCGGAUACGCCCUUUUGGGGAAAGGCUUGCUGCCGAAGGAUCGGCCCGCGUCUGAUUAGCUAGUUGGUGGGGUAAUGGCCUACCAAGGCGACGAUCAGUAGCUGGUCUGAGAGGAUGAUCAGCCACACUGGGACUGAGACACGGCCCAGACUCUUACGGGAGGGAGCAGGGCGGAAUAUGGGACAAUGGGCGCAAGCCUGAUCCAGCCAGGCCGCGUGAGUGAUGAAGGCCUUAGGGUUGUAAAGCUCUUUUGUCCGGGACGAUAAGGAGGGUACCGGAAGAAUAAGCCCCGGCUAAUUUCGG
rnacentral:rRNA from 1 species